CCGUAUAACGAACGAGACCUUAACCUGCUAAAUAAGCCAGGCCGGCCUUUUGCUGGUCGCCGGCUUCUUAGAGGGACUGUCAGCGUCUAGCUGACGGAAGUUUGAGGCAAUAACAGGUCUGUGAUGCCCUUAGAUGUUCUGGGCCGCACGCGCGCUACACUGACAGAGCCAGCGAGUUAUUUCACCUAGGCCGGAAGGUCCGGGUAAUCUUGUGAAACUCUGUCGUGCUGGGGAUAGAGCAUUGCAAUC
rnacentral:rRNA from 1 species